AGAUCGAACGCUGGCGGCAGGCCUAACACAUGCAAGUCGAGCGGCAGCACGGGUACUUGUACCUGGUGGCGAGCGGCGGACGGGUGAGUAAUGCCUAGGAAUCUGCCUGGUAGUGGGGGAUAACGGCUCGGAAACGGACGCUAAUACCGCAUACGUCCUACGGGAGAAAGCAGGGGACCUUCGGGCCUUGCGCUAUCAGAUGAGCCUAGGUCGGAUUAGCUAGUUGGUGAGGUAAUGGCUCACCAAGGCGACGGUCCGUAGCUGGUCUGAGAGGAUGAUCAGCCACACUGGAACUGAGACACGGUCCAGACU
rnacentral:rRNA from 1 species